GACGAACGCUGGCGGCGUGCUUAACACAUGCAAGUCGAGCGGUAAGGCCUUUCGGGGUACACGAGCGGCGAACGGGUGAGUAACACGUGGGUGAUCUGCCCUGCACUUCGGGAUAAGCCUGGGAAACUGGGUCUAAUACCGGAUAUGACCUCCUAUCGCAUGGUGGGUGGUGGAAUGAUUUAUCGGUGCAGGAUGGGCCCGCGGCCUAUCAGCUUGUUGGUGGGGUAAUGGCCUACCAAGGCGACGACGGGUAGCCGACCUGAGAGGGUGACCGGCCACACUGGGACUGAGACACGGCCCAGACUCCUACGGGAGGCAGCAGUGGGGAAUAUUGCACAAUGGGCGAAAGCCUGAUGCAGCGACGCCGCGUGAGGGAUGACGGCCUUCGGGUUGUAAACCUCUUUCAGCAGGGACGAAGCGCAAGUGACGGUACCUGCAGAAGAAGCACCGGCUAACUACGUG
rnacentral:rRNA from 1 species